AGAAAACAGCAUCGUCGGAAAUGUGCAUUAAAUUCAUCCUGCCCCAAAACGAUUCGAAUGUAAAUUUUAUCACUCUUUCGUGUGUGCACCAAUGUUUUAGGACGCAACAUGAUUUUUGCUUUGUCUUUUUGUUGUCUUGUGGACAUAUUAAAGAUUCAACGUGGGAAAGUCGAACUAACUUACUAACGCUAGACUAGUAUACUAAAAGCAGUUAACUCGUUAUUUUGCAAUUAAAGAACCGUUAUCUGCCCAGCUUAUAAUUAUUUAUGUAACGUAGAGUGAACUUGACAUGGUUGUGCAUUAUAGAGGUUAAACCUGUGGCACUGCAGUGUAAGUCAGGUCUAAUUUAAGACCAGCAGCUAUCAACUUGCACUCAGCCAGAACCGCUGUGUGUAAAUGAAAGAGCACGAACUCUUUCAGUAAUGUUUGUGUUGUGUUUAAACGGAGAGUAAGUUAAUCAGAUGGACUUCACGGAGUGCUACGGAGACACCUGCUCAGCCGUCGCGCUGGCAGCCCGGGAGGGGAAAGGUCGACGGGUUCAGAAGCUCAUCCAGAGAGGCUUCGCGGUGGACGUGAAAGAUAACCGGGGCUGGAACGCCCUGCACGAGGCUGCGGCGUCUGGAUCAGCGGAGUGUGUGGGGCUUCUCCUCUCUGCAGCCGUCAAUUGUGAAGACUACGUCAACACUUUGACACAUAACUCAGAGACUCCUCUUUACUUUGCUGCGAGGAAUGGACACCUCCGGGCAGUAAAGUGGCUUAUCAAGGGUGGUGCGGACAUUAACAGGAAAACCAAUGAGCUCUCCUGUCCCCUCUUUGCAGCUGUAGAUGGUGGGCACGAAGAUGUGGUGGAGCUUCUGGUGGAAAAUGGGGCGGAAGUCAAAGGGACUUACUCUGUGUCAGGCUGGUCUUGUCUCCAUCAAGCUGUUUACAAGGGCCAUACUGAGAUUGUGAGGUACCUGGUGAGCAUGUGCUCUCUGGAGGCUUUUGAUGACUAUGGGAUCACUUCAUUAUUUGUUGCUGCACAAUAUGGACAUCACCAAUGCUUGGAGAUUCUUGCAAAUGCCGGGGCGAAUGUGAACUGCCAGGCAAACGAUCUGGCCACGCCGCUGCUCAUUGCCGCUCAGGAGGGCCACGUACGGUGUGUGGAGCUUUUGCUGGCCCAUGGAGCUGACCCCAACCUGUACUGCAAUGAGGACUGCUGGCAGCUACCCAUCCAUGCUGCGGCCCAGUUCAGUCGGCUUAGUAUUUUAGAGAAGCUGAUUCCGGUAACGAAGCGAGAAUGUGACCGGGGUGAGGGAAAGGUCAGUCCAGUUUAUUUGGCAGUACUUAGCGGGCAAGCGGACAGCUUGCGGACCUUGCUAAAGAAAGGCUAUAGCCCAGACGCCCAGAGCUGUCGACAGUUUGGCUACAGCUCCCCUUUGGACAUGGCUCUGUGGUGCAACUCUUGGAAUUUGAACAGCGAGUGUCACCAGAUUCGUGAAAUCACCUUGAUGCUCUUGGCAGCAGGGGCCCAUGUCAGCAUGGGGAUCUAUGCCUUUGCAUUACAGGGCCAUGUACCAGAGCACCUGCCCUUGAUCCUAGAGCACGCUGGCCUCCCUCAGGGUGAACGACUCGAAGAACUGGCCCGUAGAGCCCUUGCUGAGAAGCAGAGCGCCUUUUUCUGGCUCCCCCUGCUGCUCAAAGCAGGAAUGGACCCCAUGCUGCUCCUGCAGGUCAAAAUGCUUGAAGAAGCUGAGAACAGAGUGCUUAAUUUCUUUCUGGAGUUCAUUAAUUGGAAGACUUUGCCCUCAUCAAUGCUUCAGAUUCUCUCUCACCGUCGAGCAGAUGGCACGUGGACGCCACAGAGGCAUUUCGAAUCAGUUCCUGCCCUCACCCAUCUGUGCAGACUGGCAGUGCGGGCAGCGGUGGGCAGCAGUGCUCUGUCCAAGACCUCCUUUAUCAAACAGCUGCCCAUCCCCACACUGCUUCAGGACUACCUUCAGUUCAGCGACGUCCCAGGCUUGCUUACAUAGCGCCCUGACAGUUAUGUGUGGCUAAUUAAGUUAUCUCAACUUGUUCCACUGCAGUAUUUUCUCUGACUCUAUUCAUUACCUUGAUAUUUAGAAAAUGUGGGAGGACAAAUGGAGAAUUCCACCAAUUUAUCUUCACUGUUCAGUUCCUCUCUUACACAGCUGGCCUUCAUACUGAGUUGGUGUUGAAAUUCACCUCUGCUCCGUGUCUUUGGUCUGCCUCGUUAUCUUCUCUCUCUCAGCGGCUCUCCUCUCGGUCUGCCUCCAAGGUCACUCUGCCUCAAAGACGCAUACUCUCCUCGAAUGUUAAUUGCCAACGCAGCCACACUCAUUCAGAGAUGCUACUAUCUGCCUUUGGUCAUACUAUGUAUUUUACAUUAUAUGUUACCUUUUAGGAAUAUGCAUAGCACACCUUCAAAAGCCUCUCUGCUGCGAGAUGCUCUCAACCUCUUGCUGCUUUGUGAAUAGAGUCGUACCUUAAUGAAUAGGCAGUUAAUCUGUUUCUAUUUCACACAGACUCAAUGUUGCAGUAUUUUAAAUUUUUUCUAUAGUACAUAUCCUGGCUAAUUGUUUUUAACACCUCUUUAACAUCAGCUACGGAAAGACCAACUGGUGCUUGCAUAAUUGUGUUACAAAAAUCAUGUUAUAUAACAUCAAGGUAUUCCUUAUUUCCAAGCCAUUUCUUUUGGAAUACUGUAUACCAUGUGCAAACAGCAGGGGGAGAACACGGAUAACUGACAGCAUAACCGCCAGUCCUACCUACAGUACCCUGCAGCCUGUCUACGUGAAAGAGGAGAGCCAUUUCUGCUCCCUCCCUGAUAUUUUGAAUUCAGAGCAAACCAGAGGCUGUGUCUCAGCAACUCUGUGCCUUGUUCUAGACAAUCAGGCCACCUCUCUGUGGGAGACUCUGGAAAGGCAAGGCAUCAGUAAUCAUGUGCAUUAAGCUUUUCUUGUGCUGCAGGUAAGCUCAGGUCCAACAGUUCGCCUUUGAUUAGCAAUCAGGCUUUUGAAAUACAGCCAAAGGACUGACUGACUUCAUGUUGAUCUUUCACAUUUGCACAUUCUUUUCCAUUUUUAUAUUAGAGUAGAAAUAUGAUUUCUGAUUGUUCAAACUUAAUUGAGAAUACAUUUUUUGGAUAUAUUAUAAGAUAAUUUUAAAUGAGAAAAUACUUUUCAUAUAUAUUUCAUAUCUAUUUGUUAGAACGUGUGUGUGUGUGUGUUUUAACACAUUUCCAAUAUAGAUAGAUACUGUUUUUCAUGUUUACAAUGAAAUUUAAAAUUAAUGUUAAAAACCCAGCUUCAAAUAACCCCUUUGAUUCGUCUCCCCUAAUUAAAACUUGAUAGCAGCACGGAGGAAUGAUGUCUAGAAUAGAGCACUUACAUAAUUGAUGCAACAUAAUCUAAAAUGUAUCAGUCCUGAAAUGUGGUGCACGUUCUAUAAAAAGCCAGUGUGACGUGCAGCCCUAAGCCAGUCCACCUGUUUAGAGCUAUAAGCCUGAAUCGUUGAACAGCCACCUCCCUUCAUACUGUGAAUUCUGUUGAUUCCAGAGUGGCUCACUGGCUCAGGAUUUGGAGGCUUUGAGCUCUGGGGAAGAUCAUCACAGUGGAGCACAUUGCCUGUCUCUUUAUUUAAUAACAUGGUACGUCUCACAGGCUUUUCAGAAAUGUGUUAAAGAAUUCUUUCUCUUAGCUUCUCUGAGUGUUAAUUGCACAACCGUAGUUGACCGUGGUUCUAAUACAAUAAAUGUAGCUUUUUUCAGUGA